rnacentral:rRNA from 1 species
CAGUAGCCGCGGUAAUACGAAGGGGGCUAGCGUUGUUCGGAUUUACUGGGUGUAAAGCGCACGUAGGCGGAUCCUUAAGUCAGAGGUGAAAUCCCAAGGCUCAACCUUGGAACCGCCUUUGAUACUGGGGAUCUCGAGUUCGGGAGAGGUGAGUGGAACUGCGAGUGCAGAGGUGAAAUUCGUAGAUAUCGGAAGGAACACCUGUGGCGAAAGCGGCUCACUGGACAUUUACUGACGCUGAGGCGCGAAAGCGUGGGGAGCAAACAGGAUUAGAUACCCCAGUAGUCCCUGUCUCUUAUAC